UACGAAGGGGGCUAGCGUUGCUCGGAGUCACUGGGCGUAAAGGGUGCGUAGGCGGGUCUUUAAGUCAGGGGUGAAAUCCUGGAGCUCAACUCCAGAACUGCCUUUGAUACUGAAGAUCUUGAGUUCGGGAGAGGUGAGUGGAACUGCGAGUGUAGAGGUGAAAUUCGUAGAUAUUCGCAAGAACACCAGUGGCGAAGGCGGCUCACCGGCCCGAUACUGACGCUGAGGCACGAAAGCGUGGGGAGCAAACAGG
rnacentral:rRNA from 1 species